rnacentral:rRNA from 1 species
CCUACGAGAGGCAGCAGUGAGGAAUAUUGCGCAAUGGGCGCGAGCCUGACCCAGCGAAGCCGCGUGAGGGAUGACGGUCUUCGGAGCGUAAACCUCUGUCAGCAGGGAAGAACGGUCACUGUGCUCAUCAGCAGUGACUUGACGGUACCUGCAACGGAAGCACCGGCUAACUCCGUGCCAGCAGCCGCGGACAUACGAGGGGUGCGAGCCUUAAUCGGAAUUGCUUGGCGUAAAGCGCUCGUAGGCGGUAUGUCAAGGCGUGGGGGAAAUUCCCGCGCGCAAAGUGGGAACCGCCUUUGAAACUGGCGAGCUGGAGUGUGUGAGAGGAGAGCGGAAUGCGUGGUGGAGGGGUGAAAUACGUAGAUAUCUCGCAGAACA